rnacentral:lncRNA from 1 species
CUUUUUGAAUGUGUUGUAAGAUAAGGGUCCAAUUUCACUCUUUUGCAUGCGGAUAUCCAGUUUUCCCAACACCAUUUAUUGAAGAGGAUAUCCUCUCUCCAUUGUAUGUUCUUAGUGACCUUGUCAAACAUUAGCUGGGUGUGUAUAUGCAUGGGUCUGGCUUUUGCUCUGAGGUUCCUCAUUUCUAAGGGAUGUUUGCACCCCUAUCAGGGAUAAAAGCAGAGGAAGGAAGGUGAGGUGAGAACUUGUACUUGAUUGGGUGGCUUUACACAUUCUUGUCCUGGCCAUACUUCUCUAAGGGUUUUUGAGGGAUGUACAGGAGCUCCCGCAGGCCCAUUUCACAACAAUGCUCAGGGUACGUGCAAAGGCCUAGCUUCACUGGUAGUUGUCUCUGCCCAGGAACACAUGGUCAGAGUCCCUUCCCUCUUCCAGGACUCCAUUCCAGCUCCCUGUCUGUAUGGUCCACACAUGUCCACAGGAAACACACAUGUAUCCUCCAGCUGAAUACACUUGAGCUGCUCCAGCACAGCCACCCUUACUCUCCCACCAAGGAGUAAGUCAUUAGCUUUCCCCCAUGCUCCCCAGGAGCGGCAUCAAAAUAACAAAACAGAAACAUCAUUUAAGAUGUAUAAAUCACCCUUAUUAAUCUGUCCAAAGGCUUUUCACUAUUAUUAGCAAUCCAGAAUAGUAAAUAUUUGUAUGUAAAUGAGGACAUAUGUGUGUAAAAUAGUUUGGAAUUUUUCAAUAAUCUUUGCUUCUUUCUGUCUCUCUCUUCUCUCUCUGUCUCUCUCUCUCUCUGUCUCUUUCAAUUCUUGAGAAUAUAUACAUUCAUCCAGACUGAGAAUUUGUUGUAUUUCAGAGCACAGCCUCACUCAUCAUAGUUUAUUUGAAUCAGAGAGUUGGACUAUAUAGUUAAGGCUCACAGAGACGGCAGGUUAGAUCUUGCCUUCAGCCUAAGGGCAAUGACAUCCCUUGUUUUGCCAGUACUGCUGAUUGAAAGUGGAACUUGCAGAACACACCCUUGGCUCUUAAAAACAUUAGAAUGAGCAAUGGAGUAUUAUUUCAUCAGUAUCAGUCUGUGCUGUCUUAAAUUUUGAUUUUGGUUUCUUUUUUGCUCUUUAUGAUUGUUACUUAAAUGUUUUUUAGCCAAAAGCCCAGUGGAAAUGUUUACCCAAUAGAAAUAUAUAACUAACUUACUAUGGAACAGUGAUAGACAGAGGAGUGAGAAUGGCAACACCAACACCGCCAUGCCCACCUCCCCUUCAUAGUCACUAUUUCACAGAUAUCUUCUCCAGAGCUUGUCAACACUUGCUAAUUACACUUUCAGGGGAUGACCCAUUUCUUUGAGCAUUCACUUAUUUUCAUAUUGUUUUAAGAAAAAUCAGUCAAAUCCUAGCGUUAUUCAUAUUCAUAUUCAAAAAUUAUUUGCCUUUUUCCUCAAAUUUUGUAAACAAUGAAUAUCUCCAAAUAUAGAGAAGAAAGAGAAGAAGUAGGGUAUGCAUCAUGAAAAGAACUCCAUGAGGCUUAUGAAUUGGUAUUGGCCCUGAGGUAUACUCAUCUCCUUUUAACCAUAUUAGUGAUCAUGUUUAUUUGGAUUUGCUCACUGAGGUGUGAGAGAACACACUACACACUACACACCUUCGGAGCUUGCAGCUCAGAAUCUGAGGUCCACCAUGGAGGAGAGAAGAAUUUAUCACUCACCCUGAACUCCAUUGGAAAAAAAAAAUGACUUUUCUUUAAUUGUAUGAAAUCCCCAAGUGUCGCAAAACAUUUUCAUUAAAAAUUUUAAGAGAAACCUCAUCUUUGAUUUCAUUCAUUUAUUCAUUCAACCAAUGCGUGUUUUUGGAAUACCUAUACCUGCUACCUAUAACUAUAGACACUUGAAGAGAGGUUGAAGAUACAAUAGUGAACAAGACAGUCUCUGCUGUCAUGAAGCUCACCG